rfam:Salmo salar isolate Sally breed double haploid chromosome ssa29, whole genome shotgun sequence.
UCCCGUGUGGCUCAGUUGGUAGAGCAUGGUGUUUGCAACGCCAGGGUUGUGGGUUCGAUUCCCACGUGGGAC